CACGUAGGGUGCGAGCGUUGUCCGGAAUUAUUGGGCGUAAAGAGCUCGUAGGCGGUGUGUCGCGUCGGCCGUGAAAACUUGGGGCUUAACUCCGAGCGUGCGGUCGAUACGGGCAUCACUUGAGUUCGGCAGGGGAGACUGGAAUUCCUGGUGAUGAGCGGUGAAAUGCGCAGAUAUCAGGAGGAACACCGGUGGCGAAGGCGGGUCUCUGGGCCGAUACUGACGCUGGAGGAGCGGAAAGCAUGGGGGAGCGAAACAGG
rnacentral:rRNA from 1 species